AAUGAACGUUGGCGGCCAUNGAUUAGGCAUGCCAAGUCGAGCGAGAAGANUCAUUUGCUUNCAUUUGANNUCGGAAAAGCGGCGUAAGGNUGAGUAACGCGUAGUUACCUGCCCCCGGUUCCGGAAUAGNUGCGGGAAACUNCANGUNAUGCCGGAUAACAUCUCAGGAUCAAAGGUGAGAUUCCGCCCCGGGGNAGGGGACUGCGUCNUACUAGCUUGUUGGUGGGGUAAUGNCCUACCAAGGCUCCGAUGGGUAGCGGGCGUGAGAGCGUGGCCCGUCACACUGGGACUGAGACACUGCCCAGACACCUACGGGUGGCUGCAGUCGAGAAUCUUCGGCAAUGGGCGAAAGCCUGACCGAGCAAUGCCGCGUGCGGGAUGAAGGCCCUCGGGUUGUAAACCGCGAAAGUGAGGAGGAAGGACCUGCGAAGAGCAGGUUUUGACCGAUCCACAGUAAGGACGGGCUAAGUUCGUGCCAGCAGCCGCGGUAACACGAACCGUCCAAACGUUAUUCGGAAUUAUUGGGCUUAAAGGGUGCGUAGGCGGCCCAUUAAGUCGGGUGUGAAAUCCUUCGGCUCAACCGAAGAAUUGCGCCCGAUACUGAUGGGCUAGAGGGAGACAGGGGUGAGCGGAACAGAUGGUGGAGCGGUGAAAUGCGUUGAUAUCAUCUGGAACACCGGUGGCGAAAGCGGCUCACUGGGUCUCUUCUGACGCUGAGGCACGAAAGCUAGGGUAGCGAACGGGAUUAGAUACCCCGGUAGUCCUAGCCGUAAACUCUGAGCACCGGGUCGAGGACUCCCCCAUAGGUUCUCGGCCGUAGCGAAAGUGUUAAGUGUCCGCCUGGAGA
rnacentral:rRNA from 1 species